rnacentral:tRNA from 1 species
UCUAAUAUGGCAGAUUAGUGUAUUGAAUUUAAGCUUCAAAUAUGAACCAUAGUUCUGUUAGAA